rnacentral:rRNA from 1 species
AUGAGCAUGUGUGAGAAAGAUCAAAAUUUCCACUGGGCCUACGACCUUUUCCAUGACCCCUUUGCCGCUCCCAACAGCUACUACGGACAUCCUAAUGGUUACAGUGACAGCAGCUAUUGUGACUACAAUUAUGCUAGAGAUGCAUCGCAUCCCGAUGAGACAUAUUUGCAUUCCUCCGCACUUACGUGUGAUAUGUACAACCCACAAGUAGGCAUGUACCAUCCUGGAAAUGUUGGCGGGCAGGAGCAUGAGGCAGUCUACGUAGAUCCGUCUAGUUCCUCUUCAUACCCUGAGAGUGACGAUUGUUUUGAAAUGGAGGAAGAAGUAGGGAAGAGAUUUUACCCCAUGGUCCCAGUUCCCCAUGUCCCUAAAAUUAAUGGUGAAAUUCCAUCACUCGACGAAGCCACCAUGGACCAUGAAAGGCUGUCAGACAGGUUGAGGCUCUAUGAACUAACUGAGAACAAGGUGAAAGGUGAUGGCAAUUGUCAGUUCCGUGCACUAUCAGAUCAGCUGUACCAAACUCCGGACCACCAUGAGUUUGUGAGGGAGCAGAUAAUUAGCCAGCUUAAAAGUAACCGGGAAGCCUAUGAUGGAUACGUCCCCAUGGCAUAUGAUGAGUAUCUGGAGAAAGUAUCACGAAAUGGUGAAUGGGGUGACCAUGUGACUUUACAGGCUGCUGCUGACAAGUACGGAGUGAAGAUUUUCGUCAUGACCUCGUUCAAGGAUACGUGCUACAUCGAGAUCCAACCCAAGGUUCAGAAGUCCAACAAGGGUAUGCAGAUGAUUCAUUUUCUUUACAGUUCCAAGUGGGGUUGGUUUUGGCACUUGACAAUGUACUCUGCUAUUUUUUUCUUCUCUGGUUUCAGUGGUGCUGUUGAGCUUUUGGGCGGAGGUUCACUACAACUCGAUAUUUCCACAGAACGGUGA